AGGACCCACCCGAGGGUGGGUCACCAUGGCUUUGGAGCGCCUGGUAGUGUGGUGUGUCCACAGUGAAGACCAGAGUUUCAUUGUCCUUAAGACUGACCUGGGGAGAUGUGGCUGUAGGCCAUUGAGGAAGACGGCACCGAAAGCGAAGGAAGCUCCUGCUCCUCCUAAAGCCGAAGCCAAAGCGAAGGCCUUAAAGGCCAAGAAGGCAGUGUUGAAAGGUGUCCGCAGCCACACGCAAAAAAGAAGAUCCGCAUGUCACUCACCUUCAGGCGGCCCAAGACACUGCGACUCCGGAGGCAGCCCAGAUAUCCUCGGAAGAGCACCCCCAGGAGAAACAAGCUUGGCCACUAUGCUAUCAUCAAGUUUCCGCUGACCACUGAGUCGGCCGUGAAGAAGAUAGAAGAAAACAACACGCUUGUGUUCACUGUGGAUGUUAAAGCCAACAAGCACCAGAUCAGACAGGCUGUGAAGAAGCUCUAUGACAGUGAUGUGGCCAAGGUCACCACCCUGAUUUGUCCUGAUAAAGAGAAGGCAUAUGUUCGACUUGCUCCUGAUUAUGAUGCUUUCGAUGUUGUAACAAAAUUGGGAUCACCUAAACUGAGUCCAGCUGGCUAACUCUAAAUAUAUGUGUAUCUUUUCAGCAUAAAAAAAAUAAUGUUUUUCAUAAGAAUGACAACUUAAUUAGAAUCAAAUCUAUAAGCUUUAAGAUUUUACGUUUCUAGUAAGUAUAAUAUUAGCUUAUUUGACUAGAACUCAAGCAGAAUAGGAAUUUAUGCUUGUUUUAUAUUCAAUAAUGAUAAUUUUGAAGAUAUAGUUGUUUUAUUACACCAAAAAUACUAUAUUAAUCUUAUUUAACUAAGUUUUAUCCAAAUCAUGUUAACUUAAGAAACAUUUGAUCAGUUCCUAUAUUUCUAGGAGUUUGGUGAAUAUUUAUUUAUAAAUGCUUAUUUUUUUCCAAGCCAAGUUAGAAUAGAGCACUUUUAGAGGUUUUCAUAAAUGAAUUUUGCAAUGCUCUCUGGAGUUAAGAAAAUAUCACAUAUACAUAACAUACAUUAAUAGAUACACAAACACAAAUAGAGAUUUCAUAGCUUUCAUCCUGAAAUUUCAGCCAUGAAUCAGGCAUAAAUAUUCUGAUGGUUAAUUUCAGACAUCUACUUGAUCGGAUUGAGAGACACACAUAGCUGGUCAAACACGAUUUCAGCCAUGAAUCAGGCAUAAAUAUUCUGAUGGUUAAUUUUAGACAUCUACUUGACUGGAUUAAGAGACACACAUAGCUGGUCAAACGUGAUUUC
rnacentral:lncRNA from 1 species